rnacentral:rRNA from 1 species
ACGCUCGACACCUACGGGAGGCAGCAGUGGGGAAUAUUGCACAAUGGGGGAAACCCUGAUGCAGCGACGCCGCGUGAGCGAAGAAGUAUCUCGGUAUGUAAAGCUCUAUCAGCAGGGAAGAAGAUGACGGUACCUGACUAAGAAGCACCGGCUAAAUACGUGCCAUCAGCCGCGGUAAUCUGAGCGGGCUGGCAAGGC